UUCCGGUUGAUCCCGCCAGAGGUUACUGCUAUCGGUGUUCGCCUAAGCCAUGCGAGUCAUAUGUAGCAAUACAUGGCGUACUGCUCAGUAACACGUGGAUAACCUGCCCUUGGGACCGGCAUAACCCCGGGAAACUGGGGAUAAUUCCGGAUAACGCAUAUUUGCUGGAAUGCUUUAUGCGUCAAAAGGAUUCGUCUGCCCAAGGAUGGGUCUGCGGCCUAUCAGGUAGUAGUGGGUGUAAUGUACCUACUAGCCAGCGACGGGUACGGGUUGUGAGAGCAAGAGCCCGGAGAUGGAUUCUGAGACAUGAAUCCAGGCCCUACGGGGCGCAGCAGGCGCGAAAACUUUACAAUGCGGGAAACCGUGAUAAGGGGACACCGAGUGCCAGCAUCAUAUGCUGGCUGUCCGGAUGUGUAAAAUACAUCCGUUAGCAAGGGCCGGGCAAGACCGGUGCCAGCCGCCGCGGUAACACCGGCGGCCCGAGUGGUGAUCGUGAUUAUUGGGUCUAAAGGGUCCGUAGCCGGUUUGGUCAGUCCUCCGGGAAAUCUGAUAGCUUAACUAUUAGGCUUUCGGGGGAUACUGCCAGACUUGGAACCGGGAGAGGUAAGAGGUACUACAGGGGUAGGAGUGAAAUCUUGUAAUCCCUGUGGGACCACCUGUGGCGAAGGCGUCUUACCAGAACGGGUACGACGGUGAGGGACGAAAGCUGGGGGCACGAACCGGAUUAGAUACCCGGGUAGUCCCAGCCGUAAACGAUGCUCGCUAGGUGUCAGGCAUGGCGCGACCGUGUCUGGUGCCGCAGGGAAGCCGUGAAGCGAGCCACCUGGGAAGUACGGCCGCAAGGCUGAAACUUAAAGGAAUUGGCGGGGGAGCACAACAACGGGUGGAGCCUGCGGUUUAAUUGGAUUCAACGCCGG
rnacentral:rRNA from 1 species